rnacentral:lncRNA from 1 species
GAUUUUUUACGCCGGUGACGGCGCCGUGGUCACGCCAGUCAUAAUCAGCUGGAAGGUCGGAAGUCGGGAGGAUCGGAGCUUUUUCAGCGUUAAGCUUAGGUUUGGGUUUGUGAAGUCCAAGGUAAGUCCGGCGGAACUCCGAUGGAGUAAGAUCGGAGAACUUUGUAAUACCGUGUUCGGCGGAAGGGUCAAGGAGCUGAUGACGCCGCGCACGGCGGAGGUUUGCCUUGAAUACCUUGAACCUAUGGUCAUGUUCCUCUUCCGAAGCGUAGAUCUUUCCGAACUUUGACUUAAAAAGUGAAAAGUGAUGCUCGGCGUUU